rnacentral:rRNA from 1 species
UGAAUACGAGACGCUAAGGCGUCGAAGUAGUGUAUGUCAUACUUCCAAGAAAAGCUUGCACUGUCAUAAGUAAAAAAUGCCUGUACCAUAACCGACACAGGUGGGUAGGUAGAGUAUACUAAGGGGCGCGAGAUAACUCUCUCUAAGGAACUCGGCAAAAUAACUCCGUAACUUCGGGAGAAGGAGUACCUUAUUCUAUAAGGUUGCAAUAACAAGAUCCAAGCAACUGUUUAUCAAAAACACAGGUCUCCGCUAAGUCGUAAGACGAUGUAUGGGGGCUGACGCCUGCCCAGUGCCAGAAGGUUAAAGAAGUCGGUUAGCAUUAGCGAAGCUGGUAACUGAAGCCCUGGUGAACGGCGGCCGUAACAAUAACGGUCCUAAGGUAGCGAAAUUCCUUGUCGGGUAAGUUCCGACCCGCACGAAAGGCGUAAUGAUUUGGAUACUGUCUCGGAGAGGGGCUCGGUGAAAUAGACUUGUCUGUGAAGAUGCGGACUACCUGCACCAGGACAGAAAGACCCUAUGAAGCUUUACUGUAACUUGAAAUUGAAAUUGGACUUUAUUCGCGCAGUAUAGGUGGGAGGUGUUGAUUAUAAUCUUGCGGGAUUAUUGGAGCCAUCAGUGAGAUACCACUCUUGUAAUGUUAGAUUUCUAACUUUGAAUCAUUAUCUGGUCAAAGGACAGUUUCAGGCGGGCAGUUUGACUGGGGCGGUCGCCUCCCAAACGGUAACGGAGGCGUACAAAGGUUUCCUCUGAACGGGUAGAAAUCGUACCUAGAGUGUAAAGGCAUAAGGAAGCUUGACUGUGAGACCUACAAGUCGAACAGGGACGAAAGUCGGUCUUAGUGAUCUGACGGUACUGAGUGGAAAGGCCGUCACUCAACGGAUAAAAGUUACUCUAAGGAUAACAGGCUGAUCUCCCCCAAGAGUUCACAUCGACGGGGAGGUUUGGCACCUCGAUGUCGGCUCAUCGCAUCCUGGGGCGGUAGUACGUCCCAAGGGUUGGGCUGUUCGCCCAUGAAAGCGGUACGCGAGCUGGGUUCAGAACGUCGUGAGACAGUUCGGUCCAUAUCCGGUGUAGGCGUUAGAAUAUUGAGAGGAGCCUUCUUUAGUACGAGAGGACCGGGAGGAACGAACCUCCUUAGUACGAGAGGACCGGGAAGGACGCACCGCUGGUGUACCUGUUAUCGUGCCAACGGUAAACGCAGGGUAGCCAAGUGCGGAGCUGAUAACCGCUGAAAGCAUCU